rnacentral:rRNA from 1 species
UACGUAGGGACCAAGCGUUGUUCGGAUUUACUGGGCGUAAAGGGCGCGUAGGCGGCGUGUUAAGUCAGCUGUGAAAUCUCCGAGCUUAACUCGGAACGGUCAGCUGAUACUGAUGUGCUAGAGUGCAGAAGGGGCAAUCGGAAUUCCCAGUGUAGCGGUGAAAUGCGUAGAUAUUGGGAGGAACAUCAGUGGCGAAGGCGACUUCCUGGACCAAUACUGACGCUCAGGUGCGAAAGCGUGGGGAGCAAACAGG